rfam:Sphingobacterium sp. Ag1 JX05_contig_12, whole genome shotgun sequence.
CGCUUAUAGAGAAAGGCCGAGGGACUAGACCCGUUGAAGCCUUAGCAACCUGUAUUGUUCAAGGUGCUAAAUUCUACCCUACUCCAUGUGGGAAAGAUAAGUU